rnacentral:rRNA from 1 species
GACGAACGCUGGCGGCGUGCCUAAUACAUGCAAGUCGAGCGGACCAAAGGGAGCUUGCUCCUGGAGGUCAGCGGCGAACGGGUGAGUAACACGUGGGCAACCUGCCUGUAAGACUGGGAUAACAUCGAGAAAUCGGUGCUAAUACCGGAUAAUAAAAAGAACUGCAUGGUUCUUUUUUGAAAGAUGGUUUCGGCUAUCACUUACAGAUGGCCGCGGCGCAUUAGCUAGUUGGUGAGGUAACGGCUCACCAAGGCAACGAUGCGUAGCCGACCUGAGAGGGUGAUCGGCCACACUGGGACUGAGACACGGCCCAGACUCCUACGGGAGGCAGCAGUAGGGAAUCUUCCGCAAUGGACGAAAGUCUGACGGAGCAACGCCGCGUGAGUGAUGAAGGUUUUCGGAUCGUAAAAACUCUGUUGUUAGGGAAGAACAAGUG